GCUAACCAGGGUCAAGCAGCCGGAUGAAUACAGGGGGGCGCAGCGUUAAACGGGAUUACUGGGCGUGAAGGUCGCGUAGGUUGUUCAGUAAGAUGGGUGUGAAAUCCCCGGGCUGAACCUGGGAACUGCUUUCAUAACUGCUGAACUAGAGUACGGUAGAGGGUAGUGGAAUUUCCUGUGUAGCGGUGAAAUGCGUAGAUAUAGGAAGGAACACCAGUGGCGAAGGCGACUACCUGGACUGAUACUGACACUGAGGUGCGAAAGCGUGGGGAGCAAACAGGAUUAGAUACCCCGGUAGUC
rnacentral:rRNA from 1 species